rnacentral:rRNA from 1 species
GAUGAACGCUGGCGGCGUGCCUAAUACAUGCAAGUCGAGCGAACAGACGAGAGUGCUUGCACUCUCUGACGUUAGCGGCGGACGGGUGAGUAACACGUGGGUAACCUACCUAUAAGACUGGGAUAACUUCGGGAAACCGGAGCUAAUACCGGAUAAUAUUUAGCUUCGCAUGAAGCAAUAGUGAAAGACGGUUCUGCUGUCACUUAUAGAUGGACCCGCGGUGUAUUAGCUAGUUGGUGAGGUAACGGCUCACCAAGGCAACGAUACAUAGCCGACCUGAGAGGGUGAUCGGCCACACUGGGACUGAGACACGGCCCAGACUCCUACGGGAGGCAGCAGUAGGGAAUCUUCCGCAAUGGAUGAAAGUCUGACGGAGCAAUGCCGCGUGAGUGAAGAAGGUUUUCGGAUCGUAAAACUCUGUUGUAAGGGAAGAACAAGUACGUUAGUAACUGAACGUACCUUGACGGUACCUUACCAGAAAGCCACGGCUAACUACGUG